GGGUCAAGUCCUUAUCUUCUUCACUGUUGUCUAAUUUUUUAGAGUCAUCUUCUUCUUAAGCUGUUGACUUGAGGGCUAUGGUCCUCUUUCUUCUGGUUUCCUCCUCAGUGUGCUACUUCAUGGUCAAUUCAUGGAUCAUGAGGGAUCCAAGCAGUUUUUUCAAUGGUAGAACAUUCAAGUCCUUGGCCUCUUGGAUUGCAGUGACUUUCGCUUCUCAUGAUCGUGGUAAUGACCUGAGUACUUUUCUCACAAGAUCACGGUAAAAGUAACAUUUGCCAAGACUU
rnacentral:lncRNA from 1 species